rfam:Nannochloropsis gaditana strain B-31 chromosome 16, whole genome shotgun sequence.
GCAUCACUGAUGCCCCCCGGUGGGGGUGCGUGACUUCAAAUCACGUGGUGCCGAGAGGCACAGGGGUUCGACUCCUCCUGAGAUGC